AGUGAACGCUGGCGGUAGGCCUAAUACAUGCAAGUCGAACGGCAGCACAGUAAGCGCUUGCUCCUACGGGUGGCGAGUGGCGGAUGGGUGAGGAAUAGAUAGGAAUCUACUUUUUCGUGGGGGAUAACGUAGGGAAACUUACGCUAAUACAGCAUACGUUCUACCGGUUAAAGCAGGGGAUCUUCGCACUUUGCGCGAUUGAAUUAGCUGACGUCGGACUAGCUAGUUGGCGUGGUAAAGGCCCAUCAAGGCGACGAUCCGUAGCGGGCCUGAGAGGAUGAUCGGCCACACUAGAACGGAGACACGGUCCAGACUCCUACGGGAGGCAGCAGUGGGGAAUAUUCGACAAUGGGCCCAAGCCUGAUGCAGCCAUACCGCGUGGGUGAAGAAGGCCUUCGGGUUGUAAAGCCCUUUUGUUGGGAAAGAAAAGCUGCAGGUUAAUACCUCGUUGUUCUGACGGUACCCAAAGAGUAAGCCCCGGCUAACUUCGUG
rnacentral:rRNA from 1 species